rnacentral:lncRNA from 1 species
GAAAGCGCCCUCUAAGGUUACCCUUAGAGGGCGCUUUUGAAAAAGCGCUCUCUAAGUCCAUGUACAUUUCCAGUUUAGAAGGCGCUUUUGGAAAGCCUUAGAGAGCGCUUUCAGAAGCGCCCUCUUAGGCCCCCUUUAGAGGGCGCUUUUUUUAAAAAAGCGCCCUCUAAGGUCCCCUUUAGUAAACAUUAAAAAUAUAACAUAUACUGCAUGUCUCUUUAUUUUCCCUCUCUAUAAGCUAUUUCGUUUUCUCUCAACUGCGAUUACUCUCUACUGCGAUUACUCCCUCACCGUUCAUCGUUCGUUCUCCCUCCCUCACCGUCAUCGUCGCCGUUCGUUCUCCCUCCCUCACCGUUCACGUUCACUGCGUUAUCCUCUUCCACCGUCACUGUUCACUUUCUUCUCCAUCGUUACCGUCACCUUUAAGGUAUUUCUCUUCUCCAUCGUUACCGUUCACUUUCUUCAUGUGUUUGAUUAUGGCAUUUUCUAAACUUAGUUUUUCAUUUUGUGCAUUAUGUUGAUUAAUGUUGUUUAGGGCAAACUGAGUUUUUUAUUUCUGAUUGAAAACUGAUAUAUUUGAAGUGUGUUUGAG